rnacentral:tRNA from 1 species
GCCGGGGUGGCGGAAUUGGUAGACGCAAGGGACUUAAAAUCCCUCGCAGCUUUGCUGUGUGCCGGUUCGAUUCCGGCCCUCGGCA